CGUCAUGUUUAGUACUUUGUUCCAUAUCCCUUGCAUGCAAUGACUGCUUGAAGUCUGUGAUUCAUAGACAUCACCAGGUGCUGCGUAUCUUCCCUGGUAAUACUCUGCCAAACCUCUACUGCGGCCACCUUCAACUGCUGCAUGUUCUGGGGGCUUGUCCCUUUACGUUUACUUAUCAGCAUAUGGAAGGCAUGCUUAAUUGGGUUUAUAUCUGGCUUGGCCAUUCAAUAAUUUUCCAUUUUUUUUUUUUAUCUUUGAGAAACUCCCCUGUUGCCUUAGCAGUAUGUUUAGGAUAAUUAUCUUGUUGCACAAUGAACCGCCAUCCAAUGAGUUUAGAGGCAUUUACUGGAACUUAUGCAGAUAAGAUGUUUCUAUACACCUCAGAAUUAAUUGUGCAACUGCCAUGAGAAGUUACAUCAUCAGUGAAGAUAAGUGUGCCAGUACCUGUGGCAGCCAUACAUGCAUGCCCAAGCCAUAAGAUGUCACAGAUAAGCUGCACUGUACAGUCAUCUCCUCCAGCAGUAAAAACAAAGCAACCAUCAUAUGAACAGGCAAGGUUGCUCACACCAUCUGGAUGGCAUAUAAGGGACAUGGACUUGUGUGGGUUUCCAUCAAGCGGCAAGAUCUGAAGCCCAACCUGAACAGGAAUCAUAAAAAGAUUUGGUGUCAAGUAGCAAUGGAUACGCGGGAAAUACUCCGAAUUUGACUUCUUUGAAAUGAGAUGUUUUACAAAUAGUAAAUAGAUUUUUGCAAACUG